rnacentral:rRNA from 1 species
GAUGAACGCUAGCGGCAGGCUUAACACAUGCAAGUCGAGGGGUAACAGGGUUGCUUGCAACCGCUGACGACCGGCGCACGGGUGCGUAACGCGUAUAGAACCUACCUUAUAUUGGGAGAUAGCCCAGAGAAAUUUGGAUUAAUAUCCCAUAGUAUUAUUGAUUGGCAUCGAUUAAUAAUUAAAGAUUUAUUGAUAUAAGAUGGCUAUGCGUUCUAUUAGCUAGUUGGUAUGGUAACGGCAUACCAAGGCUACGAUAGAUAGGGGUCCUGAGAGGGAGAUCCCCCACACUGGUACUGAGACACGGACCAGACUCCUACGGGAGGCAGCAGUGAGGAAUAUUGGACAAUGGAGGCAACUCUGAUCCAGCCAUGCCGCGUGUAGGAAGACUGCCCUAUGGGUUGUAAACUACUUUUAUAGAGGAAGAACUCCUGGUAUGUAUACCAGUCUGACGGUACUCUACGAAUAAGGAUCGGCUAACUCCG